rnacentral:lncRNA from 1 species
CUAUUGUUAUAGAUUCUGCUGUAACUAAAUUACUUUAUCUUGUUGAUUGUUAAGGCCUCAUUAGCAGAUUAAAAGAUGCAUGAAAGCACGUUUCUUAGAAAAAAGGUGUUUUUAUUUGGAAAAUACAAUUCAGGAUGUGACCUUUUAUUUGAAAGAAUAAAUGAGAAUUUGAAAUGACUAAAAUUAAAUUAGUUCUUGAGAUAAAGAAUUAUUUUUCUCUUGAAAUGCUGUUGAGUGUAUAAAUGUUUUCCUCUUAGGCACUAUUUCAUUUAAUCCUUAUGGGAAACAUAUAAAGCAGACAGAAUUAUUCCAAUUUCACAUUAAGAAACUGAGGCUCUGGGUAAACAGAUCCAUUGCUUAAAUGCACAUAGCCAGUAAAUGAUUAAACUGUAACUAAAGUUUUUCAAUAACAAUUAAAGUAUCAUUAAUGCUAUAUUGCAGCUUCCUCAUGACAUAUAUUGCUAAUGAAUUUAACCUGAACAACUGACCCUUAACUGAAAAUUACUUGUUAUAAAAUUGUCAGUAUAAAAACCAUAUAAAACAACAUAUUUUAGGUCUAAGUUAUAGAGCAUGCUCUAAGUGCUAUAAGCUUUCUGAGUUCAGAAAAUUAUGGGAGCUAGGAUCCAUCAUGAACUCCAAAAAUUUCUAUUCAAAAGGACAUUACUCGGGUGACAGGUAAAUGAGGGUAUUUUACCCUUGGAUGGAGAGAUUCUUAUUAUCCUUGUAUAUCCAUAUCUUAUAUCCAUAAUAUGUCAAAAUGCCCUCUAUUUCUCUACUUAGGAUAAAGGGACUCCUCAUAGGUAAGUCAUUCUCUCAUUAAGGUAAAAUAUAAGGCUAAUAGUAGAGCACGUUCUGGUUUUGUUAUCAAGAUGAAAGACGAUGACGUCUUAGAUUUGGGAAUAACAGUGGAGAUGGACAAAUAUGUAUGUAUUCUUGUAUAUUCUGUAAGUGGAGCUCAUAAGAGUGCUGCUGAAUGGAAUACAGUGCUGAGAAGACUUCGAGAGGAAAACCAACAUUAUUUAUUUGUAUUGCUUAUUUGAGAAAUGUGAGUUUCUUAGCUUUAAAUAGAAAAGACCUUCCUUUGUUUACUUCUUCAUUUUUCCACUUCCAUUUAGUUUACAAUUGCAAAGAUUGUUAAUUACUAUUAAGAGUUAAGACCAGAGACAAACUUUUAAAUAUCUUGUAGCUAAGGAAGCUACAGAAAAGUCAGGAUUUGGACUUUACUUACAAAGUGGAGAAUAAAAAGGAAAAGACUCAAUCAACAAUCCAUCUUUAGACUGAAAUAAUGUGAAAAAAUAAAAUUCAUAAAGCCUAAAGUUUGGAGUUCCUGUCAUGGUGCAGCAGAAACAAAUCCAACUAGGAACCAUAAGGUUGUGGGGUCGAUCCCUUGCCUCACUCAGCGGGUUAAGGAUUAUUUAAUUUUUUUUAUUUUAUUAUUUAUUUGUUUAUUUAUUUUAUUGCUUUUUAGGGCCACACAUGUGGCAUAUGGAGGUUCCCAGCCUAGAGGUCCAAUCAGAGCUACAGCUGUCGGCCUACGCCAGAGCCACAGCAAUGUGGGAUCCGAGCCGUGUCUGCAACCUACACCAUAGCUCACGGCAACACCAGACCCCUAACCCACUAAGCAAGGCCAAGGAUUGAACCCGCAACCUCAUGGUUCCUAGUUGGAUUAGUUUCUGCUGCACCAUGAUGGGAACUCCCAAACAGGUUACUUUAAAACAAAUAUGAAGGAGAGUGUUUGGAAAGGAAAAUUAGUAAAACAAUUUAAUUUUUUUUAAUGUAUAAACUGCAAAUAGAAUAGGUGAUAAUACUUAAAAUAGCCAUCAUUAAUUAUUUGGCAAGAACUAUUCUAAAUACUUAAUCCUCUUGGUAAUAACCUAUUUUAAAUAUGUUCUUCAAAAAGAUUAAAGAAAGAUAUUUUAAAUACUAAAAAACUUAAAAAAAAUCACUUAAUAUGGUUUAAAAAGUAAGGAAAAUAGGGAGUUCCCUGGUGGUGGUUAAGGAUCUGGCAUUAUCGCUGCUGUGCUGCAGGUCACUGCUGUGGUGCGGGUUUGAUCCCUAACCCAGGAACUUCCACAUGCUA